rnacentral:rRNA from 1 species
UACGUAGGGGGCUAGCGUUGUCCGGAAUCAUUGGGCGUAAAGAGCGUGUAGGCGGCCCGGUAAGUCCGCUGUGAAAGUCGGGGGCUCAACCCUCGAAUGCCGGUGGAUACUGUCGGGCUAGAGUGCGGAAGAGGCGAGUGGAAUUCCUGGGUGUAGCGGUGAAAUGCGCAGAGUAUCAGGAGGAACACCGAUUGCGAAGGCAGCUCGCUGGGACGUUACUGACGCUGAGACGCGAAAGCGUGGGGAGCAAACAGG